CAGUAUGGGAGAUCUCAUUGAAGCAGUCGCUGUCUGAGCAUCAGGAAGACAUUCUUCGACCUUUAACAACCUUUAUUUUUUUUAAACAAAGUUACGACGUUAUCAAGUGACCAGAGAGCAAUAUCACUCUCCUUGUUUUAUGUUUUGCCAGUCUGCACGGAAACGUUGUGUAUUUAGUUUACAGGACUUCAACCAUCUCAUUUCAGAACGUUUUAUUCCUCCAACACCAUUUCUGUGAUUUAUCUCAAUUUUAGCAAUUGAGAAGUCUUGUUCCUGAAGGCUUUUUAUUAUGUUUUGUCUUAUCAGAUCAAAAUAGGGAGGACAUUUUAUGUAUGAUUUAGUAGCGUGUUAACCAUGAUGUCUGUUUAAAGAAAGCCAAAGGUAGACUCUGCAGGUGGUUUAUACAAAACAUUGGGACCAAAAUAAGUCUGUCUCAGUUCAUUGGGUUAGUAGAACACCCUGAGCGUUGAAUAAUUCUGAAAAUGUUAUGGAUAUGUUUUGUUUUUUUUCUUCUUCUGUGGGCAGGAGUAUGGGGGCAUUUUGGUCAGUCUUUCUUUAGAUGUAUACCUUGUGCCAAGCUGUCAUUUAGUUUUGUGUUAUGCUAUAGUAUUGCCCUAAUACAGACUGUCAUUGAUCGAUAAACAGGCUAAGACUGCUAAACCUCAGUAUUUACAGUUGAUGUACAGUAAAAACAAGGCCAUAUUUAUUGUAGCUCUGAUAAGUUUCAUGCAGUUCUCGUUUAGCCAGUAGAGGUUGAGAUGUUACCGGACUGCACAAAUACACAUGCCAUCUAGUUCUGAGAAUCAUUUAGUGUCUAACAGCCAUAUGAGAAGCCAUUGUGAUGCUGUUGCAUUAUUUUUCCAUUACUGAUGCUUUACCUUGCUCUCCGUUUGACCAUGGGGUCCAGGUGUGUUUUAAUGGAGCAGGGUGACCAUGGAGAACUUGUUUGCCAGUUUUCCCCUCUUUUUUGCCUUGUGGCUGCUAUGUUAUGGCAGUAUUGUCACAGUAUUUAUUUGGUUCUGUGCAUGACAGCUCAGAGUCUGAAAGAUGCUCCAGAAUUUACUCCUCAAUUUCCCCAGACUGGGCAUAUACAGGAAUGCUAACUAAUUGUAAACAAGGGGCAUUUUAACAUGGAGGGAUAUGCAAUUCAAGCAACCAGCUUGCGCCUUUGGAUGCAUGCAUAAAUUCUCUUUUUUUUUAGUGUAUAGCAAAUUGCAUUAUGCAAUCUAGAAAUAGUACAGAAAGACACAAGGACCAUAAUCACUUCCUGAGCUUUGAGAGGAAAAGACAAUGCCAAAGUCCUUCAGAGGGAAUUCGCUCAAGUUUCCUUACAUUUAUUCCUAAUUAGCCAACAUUCCCUCAAUUUGUUUUCAGUGUUAAUCCCUUUCCUUGUACUUCUGUAGCCCUUCUCCAGUCUGUAAAUUAGUUUCUGCUGUUUUCUUGCAUCAUCUUUCAUGUGCCUUGGUGUAUGUAUACAUAUAUACAUCAACGGAAGAUUCCGUUGGACAUGUAUGACAUUUUCUAUGCUUUCUUGCAUCAGCGUUUUGUUACCAAUGUUCUUAUUUACAAACCAAGCCUUUCUGUAAUGUGCCUAUGCUAUAUUGGAGGAAGUAUACGUUUUAAUUUUGCUUUUCAUAUGAAACAUAAUCAAGCCUGAGAAUAAAGUACUUAUUCAACAAUGAAAAGGUGAUGUUUUUCUUUUCAAGUUGGAAAAUCCAUGACCAUUUUUUAUAUUAAAUUUAUUCUGCAAAUAAUAUUUGUAAAAAUCAUACAAACCUAAGCGUUCACACUGGUGAAUCUGUUUUGACACAAGUAAUCAUGAUUGUAUGGGUUUCUUUUACUUUCAAUGACAUUU